rnacentral:rRNA from 1 species
UACGGAGGGUGCAAGCGUUAUCCGGAUUCAUUGGGUUUAAAGGGAGCGUAGGUGGCUUUGUAAGUCAGUGGUGAAAUCUUAGAGCUUAACUCUAAAACUGCCAUUGAUACUGCUUAGCUUGAAUCACGUCGAGGUGGACGGAAUAUUACAUGUAGCGGUGAAAUGCUUAGAUAUGUAAUAGAACACCGAUUGCGAAGGCAGUUCACUAGGCGUGUAUUGACACUGAGGCUCGAAAGCGUGGGGAUCAAACAGG